AACCUAGCACACCUGCGGUGUGUACCUGCGGAAGGAUCAUUACCUAGAGUUGCGGGCUUUGCCUGCCAUCUCUUACCCAUGUCUUUUGAGUACCUUCGUUUCCUCGGCGGGUUCGCCCGCCGGUUGGACAACACUUAAACCCUUUGUAAUUGAAAUCAGCGUCUGAAAAAACUUUAAUAGUUACAACUUUUAACAACGGAUCU
rnacentral:misc_RNA from 1 species